AUUGAACGCUGGCGGCAGGCUUAACACAUGCAAGUCGAGCGGGGUGAGGUGCUUCGGUACUGAUCCUAGCGGCGGACGGGUGAGUAAUGCUUAGGAAUCUGCCAUUUAGUGGGGGACAACAUUCCGAAAGGAAUGCUAAUACCCCAUACGUCCUACGGGAGAAAGCAGGGGAUCUUCGGACCUUGCGCUAAAUGAUGAGCCUAAGUCGGAUUAACGAGUUGGUGGGGUAAAGGCCUACCAAGGGGACGAUCUGUAGCGGGUCUGAGAGGAGGAACCGCCCCACUGGGACUGAGACACGGCCCAGACUCCUACGGGAGGCAGCAGUGGGGAAUAUUGGACAAUGGGCGGAAGCCUGAUCCAGCCAUGCCGCGUGUGUGAAGAAGGCCUUUUGGUUGUAAAGCACUUUAAGCGAGGAGGAGGCUACCUGGAUUAAUACUCUAGGAUAGUGGACGUUACUCGCAGAAUAAGCACCGGCUAACUCUGUGCCAGCCGCCGCAGUAACAC
rnacentral:rRNA from 1 species